rnacentral:rRNA from 1 species
CGCAAUGGGCGAAAGCCUGAUGCAGCGACGCCGCGUGCGGGAUGAAGGCCUUCGGGUUGUAAACCGUUUUUAUGAGGGAAGAAUUUUGACGGUACCUCAUGAAUAAGAGGUUGCUGACUCUGUGCCAGCAGCAGCGGUAAUACAGAGACCUCGAGCGUUAUCCGGAAUCAUUGGGCGUAAAGCGUGCCGAUCGGCGGCUUGGAAAGUCUGAGGUAAAAUCCAGAGGCUUAAAUUCUGGCUUGCCUUGGAAACUUCCAAACUUGAGGGGCAAAGAGGGGCUUGGAACGAUCGGGGUAGCAGUGAAAUGCGUUGAUAUCGUCCGGAACCCCGCUAGCGAGGGCAGAGCACUGGGUGCCCCCUCUCGCGUGGAGGCCGAAAGCGU